rnacentral:rRNA from 1 species
AUUGAACGCUGGCGGCAUGCCUUACACAUGCAAGUCGAACGGCAGCACGGGUGCUUGCACCUGGUGGCGAGUGGCGAACGGGUGAGUAAUACAUCGGAACGUACCUUAUCGUGGGGGAUAACGCAGCGAAAGCUGUGCUAAUACCGCAUACGCCCUGAAGGGGAAAGCGGGGGAUCGCAAGACCUCGCGCGAUUAGAGCGGCCGAUGCCUGAUUGGCUAGUUGGUGGGGUAAAAGCCCACCAAGGCGACGAUCAGUAGCUGGUCUGAGAGGACGAUCAGCCACACUGGGACUGAGACACGGCCCAGACUCCUACGGGAGGCAGCAGUGGGGAAGUUUGGACAAGGGGGGCAACCCUGAUCCAGCAAUGCCGCGUGAGUGAAGAAGGCCUUCGGGUUGUAAAGCUCUUUUGUCAGGGAAGAAACACCGGCUCUAACACAGUCCGGGAACGACGGUACCUGAAGAAUAAGCACCGGCUAACUACGUGCCAGCCGCCGCUGUAA